AAUGAACGCUGGCGGUAGGCCUAACACAUGCAAGUCGAACGGACGCACAGGAAGAGCGUGCUCUUACGGGUGGCGAGUGACGGAAGGGUGAGGAAUACAUCGAGAUCUACUUUUACGUGGGGGAUAACGGAGGGAAGCAUACGCUAACACCGCAUACGACCACCGGGUGAAAGCAGGCGCUCUUCGCACCUUGCCCGGUGGUAUGCGCCCAUGCCGGGUUAGCUAGCUGGCGGGGUAAAGGCCCACCAAGGCGACGAUCCGUAGCCGGUCCGAGAGGAUGCUCACCCACACUGGAACUGAGACACGGUCCAGACUCCUACGGGAGGCCGCCGUCGGGAAUCUUCGCCACUGGGCGCAAGCCUGAUCCAGCCAUACCGCGUGAGUGAUGAAGGCCUUCGGGUUGUAGAGCCCUUUUGUUCGGAAAGAAAAGCAGGAGGUUAAUCCCCCGCCGUUCUGACGGUACCCAAAGAAUAAGCACCGGCUAACUUCGUG
rnacentral:rRNA from 1 species